rnacentral:rRNA from 1 species
UACAGAGGUCUCAAGCGUUGUUCGGAUUCAUUGGGCGUAAAGGGUGAGUAGGUGGCGCCGUAAGUCAGGUGUGAAAUCUCGGGGCUUAACCCCGAAACUGCACUUGAUACUGCGGUGCUCGAGUACUGGAGAGGAGAUUGGAAUUUACGGUGUAGCAGUGAAAUGCGUAGAUAUCGUAAGGAAGACCAGUGGCGAAGGCGAAUCUCUGGACAGUUACUGACACUGAGGCACGAAGGCCAGGGGAGCAAACGGG